rnacentral:rRNA from 1 species
AGCGAACGCUGGCGGCAGGCCUAACACAUGCAAGUCGAACGAACUCUUCGGAGUUAGUGGCGGACGGGUGAGUAACACGUGGGAACGUGCCUUUUGGCUCGGAAUAACUCAGGGAAACUUGUGCUAAUACCGAAUGUGCCCUUCGGGGGAAAGAUUUAUCGCCAUUAGAGCGGCCCGCGUCUGAUUAGCUAGUUGGUGAGGUAACGGCUCACCAAGGCGACGAUCAGUAGCUGGUCUGAGAGGAUGACCAGCCACACUGGGACUGAGACACGGCCCAGACUCCUACGGGAGGCAGCAGUGGGGAAUCUUGCGCAAUGGGCGAAAGCCUGACGCAGCCAUGCCGCGUGAAUGAUGAAGGUCUUAGGAUUGUAAAAUUCUUUCACCGGGGACGAUAAUGACGGUACCCGGAGAAGAAGCCCCGGCUAACUUCGUG